rnacentral:rRNA from 1 species
GACAGAGGGUGCAAACGUUGCUCGGAAUUACUGGGCGUAAAGCGCGUGUAGGCGGUUUCGCAAGUCAGGUGUGAAAGCCCAAGGCUCAACCUUGGAAGUGCACUUGAUACUACGGAGCUUGAGUACUGAAGAGGAGAGCGGAAUUCCCGGUGUAGAGGUGAAAUUCGUAGAUAUCGGGAGGAACACCUGUGGCGAAGGCGGCCAUCUGGACGACGAUUGACGCUGAGACGCGAAAGCGUGGGUAGCAAACAGG